CUUGGCGCUCGGUGGCGGCGCUUUGGGAAUUUUCACACUGGCGUUCAAGGUCCCUGAGGACCUCACCGUGAGCUGUUUUCCCUUGAAUAUUGAAUGACUUGGAGAACCUCCUGGUUUCCCUAGAUGUUUGCAGCAGAAAAUAGGGUUGGAACUGGAAGGAAGUUGGCUAUAAUAACCAUAUGCUUGUGCUUUCCCUUGCUCAAUGCUGACCAACGGGACCUGAGGGGAGUCUGCUACGGAACUUCAGGGAAAGUUUUCUUCUUUGAUGAAAAGACACAUGUGGGAAGAAACAGCUCUUCUUCCCCUAGAUUUGAUCAUCGAUCAUCAGUGAAAGAAAUCCUGGCAUCACUGCAGCCCUCUUCUUAGAUUAAGGGAGCUUCAUUUGAUGGCAAAGUGGGAAGGGAAGGAGCUUAAAGACAUUGAAUAGUCACCAAGCUAAGUAGCCAGGAGGCCACUCCAGCUUCUUGUUAUGUGAAAUAAUAGACUUCUCUUACUGUUCAAAAAAACUUAUUUAAGAAUGAUUACAUAAAGAGUUGAGAAUGCGGAAGUAAUUGAAAAAUUCAAACUAAGAUUAAAGUAUGAUGUUAUUGUACCUCAGUGAUGAUCUAAUACAAAUUAUGUCCUGAAAUUAACACCCCAUUAAAAUUAAAUACAGUGUGGAU